AUGUUACGUUAAGUAUGUUUAUGCAACUUGUAAAAUGCAUAACAAUCUAAGAAAGCGUUUCUCGAUUUGUCACAAAUAAUGUUUCCUUAACAUUAUUGUUAUUGAUAGCAUUCCAAGCUUUUCACAGUUGGCAAGCAGAUAACAAAAUAAAGCGUUCACUGCUCGUGUGUGACCAUUCGGCGAAUUUUAAAUGCAAGUAAAAUACAGAAAAAGAAAGUUUUAAAAGAAAAACAUUGCAAAGAGAAGAAAUAAUUACACAACCAAACAGCUAUUAUACCAAAGACGAUAUAAAAAUUGCUAAACUACAAUUAUAAGCUUAAAC